rnacentral:rRNA from 1 species
UACGUAGGGUGCGAGCGUUAAUCGGAAUUACUGGGCGUAAAGCGUGCGCAGGCGGUUCGUUGUGUCGGUGGUGAAAUCCCCGGGCUUAACCUGGGAAUGGCCAUGGAAACUGGCGAACUGGAGUGCGGCAGAGGGGGGUGGAAUUCCGCGUGUAGCAGUGAAAUGCGUAGAUAUUGGGAAGAACACCCGUGGCGAAGGCGGCUCUCUGGAACGCAACUGACGCUGAGACGCGAAAGCGUGGGGAGCAAACAGG